AGUUAUGAACAAGUACAGAGAUCUGUUGUGGUCUUUCUUCGCUUUGAUUAAGAUAAUUUUGUGUUACUACUAGCUGGUACUACUCUUUCUAUUUGUCUGCAAUGGUGACAGGUUAAAAGUCAGGGAGGGACCCUCUCUUCAAUCUACCUGCCCAAACCACAAUACUUCUAUGGAGAUAUUUUAAGGAGCACAAAGUCCCUGUGCAAAAGAGACAAAUAACGCUUUUCAUGCAGGGAUGUCCACCUGUUUUUCCAAUCACUGUCCCAGGUACUAAAGUCUCUUCCUGAACUUGGCUGGUUGGACUUCUUGGAAAAUGCUGAUUAAAUGCCACUGGCAUCUUUUGAGCAGAAAAGUGGAUCUGAUAAUGUCAAUCUUCAUUCAGUCUUUGUUGUCUUACAGGUUGCUAGCAGCACUGAGAAUACCUUUUAUGAGGUUUUCGCAUCUGCGGAAACAGAUCAGAUUCUUGCAGAUCAGAUUCUUGAUUACUUGCUAUAGUUGUUAAAAGCAAAAGCAAGGGAACAAACAUCUUCUUGGAAUUUUAAAACAUACUUACUGCCUUAAUAGUUUUUAUUUUGCAACACCUGAAAUCACAAAAAGCUUGCAGUGCGCAGUUACUGAGCUACAUAUACUGAAUGCAUGUUCUUACUCGUUUUGAAACAAGAAACUAAAACCCGGAGAAACUUCAAUACUUCCAAGAUGACUUGAAAUAAAAAAAAAAAAAAACCAGCACAAAAACUAAAUGAGUAUGAUGCUUUGAUCAAUCAUGUAUUUGAGCUGUGUUUACACAGAGGAUUAAUUUUUUUCUCUUUCGGCCACCUGCAAACCUGAAUCCUUGCUUUCUGGUCUUUUAAGACAGACAACACCCUCUGUGCCAGUAAAGAACGUCUUUUAUUCGAAGAUGGCAUUAGCUAGUCAUCUUCAUCCACUUACCUCCAGCUACCCUUCACAUUAACCUGUGGUCUUCCUUGCAGAACCUGGAUCCAGAUGGGGCCUUUCCUGGCUGGGCCAUCUCAGAUUUGGCUACCAGAAAGGGCACAGUGUGGGUGGCUCUUAUCUGGAGUCCCCUUCACCAGGCUGAAGUGCAAAUCCUCCCCAAGGAGAGCUAGGAGGGCCCUGAGAUUCAGUCAAAAAUAUGCAUUGUGCUCAUAAUGUCUGAGCUCUUGUUCUGUGCCUCAGCUCCCCUAGCUAUAAGACAGCAGCUUUUUAAAAAUAAGGUCAAGUGGCCAGUGAUGUGGAAGAGAAGACAUUAAUUACUCUUUUCAGUAGAGAUAUCAUAAGCAUGCUACUACCAUUUCUGAGAGUUCAGAGGAGGAUCAGAAAUAAAGAUCAAAGCCUGAGUGUGGCCUGUGAGCAGUCUUCUUUUGAGGCAAGCACAUGAGGGAUGUGUGGAGGGAUAUACUCUGCCAAGGGAAAGAGAACAGCAGUGUUGGUCAGUCAUGCCAGUGCUCCAUCAAGGUGUUGGCAGAGGACUUGGAUUUUGCUGGUCUGGAACAGACAGAUGGCUUUUCCCCUUUUGAGCCUCAUUUCUGUGAGAAGUGUCUUUGACUCAAUGACUGUCCCAUAACAUGGGAUUUUGUUGAUUUUUCUGAUGGGUGUUGCUGCUGGAUGAUUGUGAAAAAGAAAGUAAUCCUGGAAGUAUCUAACUCGGUGUCUCCUCGUUGAUAGUGCCUGCUCCAUUAGGGGUGAUUUUUCCAUGACUGCCAGUGGCACCUGCGUACAUCAUUGCUGUGUUACAAUAAGAUGACUGCAGAUAUGACCAGCACCACAUCGCCUUUGAAUGGUCUUACUAGUUAUGCAAAUGCUAGAAAUCUCACCACAGUUAUAUCGACUAUUCAUUUCCAGUCUCCUACUUAAAAGUUGCUUUCAUGCCUGGAGUAGCGAAGUCCUGUUGAGCUCUCUGUAGGCAUUGCCUUAAGCACCAUUUUAAUGAACAUUUUGAUUGACAUUACUAAAUGACCCUUGAUUUCUAACUGUAAAUCAAGUCAAAUGGAGAUAUUUGUGUAAAAGAUGGGAGUUGAUGAGGUUGGUCUCCGGCUAUGUUGAGAGAGAGAUGUUGGAUAAAACUGGAAACCAUCAAGAGCUCUUGGAGGAAAAUGUGUGAGUGUAGAUCCCUGCUGGCAGUUUUAGACCGGAAGCAUCCUGGUAACAGAGGAGCACUGUGGUGCCUGUCAAAUUGUACUCUCCUUCAGAUCAGGUGUGCAGAGCUGGUGCUGGGACAGUAGCAAGCAGUGAUAGUAUAGCAAGGAGAAUAGCAAUUCUUUGCUGGCUCUCAGACUGGGAGGAGGCUGCUGACCAUGAUGCUUCUGCACAAUUAAAAGGGAUGAAGCCAUCUUCUACAGUAAAAGCAGGUUUCAAAGCCCUCUCUCAAGAGAGGAGUAGCCUUAUCCACAGUAGCUCGGUGCAUGGGAGGGGAGGGUUUGUUCCCGGUGAAAGAGGAGGAAGCCACCCAGGUUUGAUGAGCUCCAGUCCCAGGACCUGGACUCCUGAGCCCAUCACUUAAAGAUACAUCUCCAAUGAAUGAAAAAUUGAGUCGUGGGGUUAAGUACUUUUGGAACAAAGAAUAUUCACUUUAAAAGAUAUACUCUUAAUCAAGAUGCUUCAAAUUUAUUCACACGUGCUGGAAAGCCAACCUCUGUCUUGAUGCUGGUGAAAAAGAAGCAGCAUGGCACAGUGCUUUGCAGAGAGCUGAGGCUGCUGUUACAUCUGAGCAGUGAUUUGUAAUUGCAGCCAAUAAAACUUGCAUGUCCAUCUCCCACGUUUCACAUCUAAGACACCUUCUGUCAUAAUAUUCAGAAAAUCUAGAGGCAGAAAUCAAAGCUGAACUCUUCCUUGGAGAAGAACCUGGCAAAGACUAACAAAAGAGGGAUGGCAGGAGACUGCGAGGUUAAGAGGAAAGGGGUAAGGGAUCUCAGUGACGUGUUGCUGUAAAACUAACAGGUUGGUAGGGGAAGGGCAGAAGAAAAAUCUUACCUCUUUACUAGGUGGUAUCAGGUAUGUGGCACUGACCAAAUAAAUCACGAGAGUGCAGAGAGGUGGACCAAACCUGAUUAGCCUGACUGGGAGGAGAUUAACAUUUUAUAUAAGAUUGGGGGGGGGGGGGCGGUGCAUUAAAACUAACAGAAAGGAACUUAAUAAAAGCAAACAGCAGAACAACCCAAACCAUGAAAACCUUGCUUCUCACCAAAAGAUGAUUUCAGCCACUCCCACCUUUUAUGGGAAGCCUUACCAUUAACUUGUCAUUUUAUGGGAUGCAUAAGAGUCUUGCCCAAGGAAUGACUGGAGAUAAGAUAUCUAACCCGCUAGCUAGGCUGUGAGAUACUCACCGCUGAUAUGCCAGUACACCAUCCAUUCCCUCUGAUACCAGUGUUGGCUGUGGAUAGAUGAUUCAGAAGUGUUUAUUAGAGAAGUCAUCAUCCAGAAGAGACUGCCUCAGGAAAGAAGCAGCUGACAGUAACUAAGGAUAGCCAACUAUUGCAAAAAUCAGGUUUUUGACUGAUUGUGUGGAUCAGUGCAGGAUCCAGGCUGCCAAAGUCACAGCUGGACAAACGAUUACAUUUCUCAACAAACCAUCCUCUCCAACCCCUUCUUGCUCGGUCAGGCCUUGUGCAGUUCUUCUUUUGCAGUUCAAAUGAAUUUUGAAUUGCAGUUUGCACAUCUGUAGUUCCUAUCCUUGCUCGUUAGCAAAGUGUUUGUGCCACCUGUUUGUUGUGCUGUUCCUUUCCUUGUAAUUUUCAAUUUAUUCCAAAUUUCCUGUGCAUGACUAAAACUGCAACCAUCUGACAGAGAACUAAAAAAGGAAAGUGAAUUAAUUUCCUAGCUUUAGAGACAACCACUGUCUAUGCUGUUGUCCCGGGUUAUUCAAUCAUAAUUUACUUCAAUCUUUUUGAACAUAUGAAUUCCCUUUGGCUAAGACAGCUGUUUGUGCUGACGGGCAAAAGGUUUAAGCCCAAAACAUGUUUUCCUUGCUCAACGCUGUGAGUUGCAAUUCCCCACAUCUUUUUUUCUUUCAGUGGUCCAGUCCUAUGCAUUCUGCUGUUUGUAUCCACUGGUGAUUCUGUGAAUGGUAUUGGCCAUCAUUUUCCUCAGCCUAAUUUGCUUUCUUUCCAUGUGCUGUGCUUGCAAAGCUGCUAAAUUCAGAACUUCUCAUAAAAAAAGAACUGAAACUUCAAACCUCAAACAUGACAGAAACAGUUGUUUUGUAUGCUGAAUUUUACUUAAAAUAAAAAUCACUUAUGCAAAAGCCA